AAACGACUCUCGGCAAUGGAUAUCUUAGCUCUCGCAUCGAUGAAGAACGUAGCAAAAUGCGAUACUUGGUGUGAAUUGCAGAAUCCAUGAACUAUCGAGUCUUUGAACGCAAGUUGUGCCCCAAGCCAUUAGGCCGAGGGCAUGUCUGCUUGUGUGUCACGC
rnacentral:rRNA from 2 species